AUUUUGGACAAUGGGCGCAAGCCUGAUCCAGCCCUGCCGCGUGAGUGAAGAAGGCCUUCGGGGGGUAAAGCUCUUUCGUACUGAAAGAAAUCGCGCUGGCUAAUACCCUGCGCUGAUGACGGUAUCUGCAUAAGAAGCACCGGCUAACUACGUGCCAGCAGCCGCGGUAAUACGUAGGGUGCGCGCGUCAAUCGGAAUUACUGUGAGUAAAGCGUGCGCAGGCGGUUGAUUAAGACUGGCGUGAAAACCCCGGGGUUAACAUGGGAACUGCGCUUGUGACUGGUCAGCUAGAGUACGGCAGAGGGGGGUGGAAUUCCACGUGUAGCAGUGAAAUGCGUAGAGAUGUGGAGGAACACCGAUGGCGAAGGCAGCCCCCUGGGCCGAUACUGACGCUCAUGCACGAAAGCGUGGGUAGCAAACAGG
rnacentral:rRNA from 1 species